AGUUGUUUAAAUCAUCGCUUUUGUGAAAAAAACACUAUUGUAAGCAGCUACAGUCUGAAGAAAACACUGUUGUCAGGUAAGCAGCUACAGUCUGAAGAAAACACUAUUGUGAGGUAAGUAGCUACAGUCUGAAGAAAACACUAUUUUGAGGUAAGCAGCUACAGUCUGAAGAAAACACUAUUGUGAGUUAAGUAGCUACAGUCUAACGAAAACACUAUUGUGAGGUAAGUAGCUACAGUCUAACAAAAACACUAUUGUGAGGUAAGUAGCUACAGUCUAACAAAAACACUAUUGUGAGGUAAGUAGCUACAGUCUGAAGAAAACACUAUUGUGAGGUAAGCAGCUACAGUCUGAAGAAAACACUAUUGUGAGGUAAGUAGCUACAGUCUAACGAAAACACUAUUGUGAGGUAAGUAGCUACAGUCUGAAGAAAACACUAUUUUGAGGUAAGCAGCUACAGUCUGAAGAAAACACUAUUGUGAGGUAAGCAGCUACAGUCUGAAGAAAACACUAUUGUGAGGUAAGUAGCUACAGUCUAACGAAAACACUAUUGUGAGGUAAGUAGCUACAGUCUGAAGAAAACACUAUUUUGAGGUAAGCAGCUACAGUCUGAAGAAAACACUAUUGUGAGGUAAGCAGCUACAGUCUGAAGAAAACACUAUUGUGAGGUAAGUAGCUACAGUCUAACGAAAACACUAUUGUGAGGUAAGUAGCUACAGUCUGAAGAAAACACUAUUUUGAGGUAAGCAGCUACAGUCUGAAGAAAACACUAUUGUGAGGUAAGCAGCUACAGUCUGAAGAAAACACUAUUGUGAGGUA